rnacentral:tRNA from 1 species
GGAUGGGUGGCCGAGCGGUUUAAGGCUCCAGUCUUGAAAACUGGCGUAGGGGUGACUCUACCGUGGGUUCGAAUCCCACCCCAUCCGCCA